rnacentral:rRNA from 1 species
UGGGGAAUUUUGGACAAUGGGCGAAAGCCUGAUCCAGCAAUGCCGCGUGUGUGAAGAAGGCCUUCGGGUUGUAAAGCACUUUUGUCCGGAAAGAAAUCCUUGGCUCUAAUACAGUCGGGGGAUGACGGUACCGGAAGAAUAAGCACCGGCUAACUACGUGCCAGCAGCCGCGGUAAUACGUAGGGUGCAAGCGUUAAUCGGAAUUACUGGGCGUAAAGCGUGCGCAGGCGGUUUGCUAAGACCGAUGUGAAAUCCCCGGGCUCAACCUGGGAACUGCAUUGGUGACUGGCAGGCUAGAGUAUGGCAGAGGGGGGUAGGAAUUCCACGUGUAGCAGUGAAAUGCGUAGAGAUGUGGAGGAAUACCGAUGGCGAAGGCAGCCCCCUGGGCCAAUACUGACGCUCAUGCACGAAAGCGUGGGGAGCAAACAGGAUUAGAUACCCUGGUAGUCCACGCCCUAAAACGAUGUCAACUAGUUGUUGGGGAUUCAUUUCCUUAGUAACGUAGCUAACGCGUGAAGUUGACCGCCUGGGGAGUACGGUCGCAAGAUUAAAACUCAAAUGAAUUGACGGGGUCAUAGCUGUUUCC